GUAGGGGAGCGUUCUGUAAGCCUGCGAAGGUGGCCUGUGAGGGUUGCUGGAGGUAUCAGAAGUGCGAAUGCUGACAUAAGUAACGAUAAAGCGGGUGAAAAGCCCGCUCGCCGGAAGACCAAGGGUUCCUGUCCAACGUUAAUCGGGGCAGGGUGAGUCGACCCCUAAGGCGAGGCCGAAAGGCGUAGUCGAUGGGAAACGGGUUAAUAUUCCCGUACUUGGUGUUACUGCGAAGGGGGGACGGAGAAGGCUAUGUUGGCCGGGCGACGGUUGUCCCGGUUUAAGCGUGUAGGUGUGUGUUCCAGGUAAAUCCGGUUCACUUUAACACUGAGGCGUGAUGACGAGGCACUACGGUGCUGAAGCAACAAAUGCCCUGCUUCCAGGAAAAGCCUCUAAGCAUCAGGUAACAUCAAAUCGUACCCCAAACCGACACAGGUGGUCAGGUAGAGAAUACCAAGGCGCUUGAGAGAACUCGGGUGAAGGAACUAGGCAAAAUGGUGCCGUAACUUCGGGAGAAGGCACGCUGACAUGUAGGUGAAGUGAUUUACUCAUGGAGCUGAAGUCAGUCGAAGAUACCAGCUGGCUGCAACUGUUUAUUAAAAACACAGCACUGUGCAAACACGAAAGUGGACGUAUACGGUGUGACGCCUGCCCGGUGCCGGAAGGUUAAUUGAUGGGGUCAGCGCAAGCGAAGCUCCUGAUCGAAGCCCCGGUAAACGGCGGCCGUAACUAUAACGGUCCUAAGGUAGCGAAAUUCCUUGUCGGGUAAGUUCCGACCUGCACGAAUGGCGUAAUGAUGGCCAGGCUGUCUCCACCCGAGACUCAGUGAAAUUGAACUCGCUGUGAAGAUGCAGUGUACCCGCGGCAAGACGGAAAGACCCCGUGAACCUUUACUAUAGCUUGACACUGAACAUUGAGCCUUGAUGUGUAGGAUAGGUGGGAGGCUUUGAAGUGUGGACGCCAGUCUGCAUGGAGCCGACCUUGAAAUACCACCCUUUAAUGUUUGAUGUUCUAACGUGGACCCGUAAUCCGGGUUGCGGACAGUGUCUGGUGGGUAGUUUGACUGGGGCGGUCUCCUCCUAAAGAGUAACGGAGGAGCACGAAGGUUGGCUAAUCCUGGUCGGACAUCAGGAGGUUAGUGCAAUGGCAUAAGCCAGCUUGACUGCGAGCGUGACGGCGCGAGCAGGUGCGAAAGCAGGUCAUAGUGAUCCGGUGGUUCUGAAUGGAAGGGCCAUCGCUCAACGGAUAAAAGGUACUCCGGGGAUAACAGGCUGAUACCGCCCAAGAGUUCAUAUCGACGGCGGUGUUUGGCACCUCGAUGUCGGCUCAUCACAUCCUGGGGCUGAAGUAGGUCCCAAGGGUAUGGCUGUUCGCCAUUUAAAGUGGUACGCGAGCUGGGUUUAGAACGUCGUGAGACAGUUCGGUCCCUAUCUGCCGUGGGCGCUGGAGAACUGAGGGGGGCUGCUCCUAGUACGAGAGGACCGGAGUGGACGCAUCACUGGUGUUCGGGUUGUCAUGCCAAUGGCACUGCCCGGUAGCUAAAUGCGGAAGAGAUAAGUGCUGAAAGCAUCUAAGCACGAAACUUGCCCCGA
rnacentral:rRNA from 1 species